GCGCCCGUAGCUCAGAUGGGAUAGGGCAUCAGACUAUGAAUUUGAGGGGCGGGCGUUCGAAUCGUUCCGGACGCGCCA
rnacentral:tRNA from 1 species